AUGGCACACUUGAUCCUGAUCUAC
rnacentral:siRNA from 1 species